UAUACAUAUAUAUAUACAUACAUACAUAUAUACAUACAUACAUAUAUACAUACAUAUACAUAUACAUAUACAUACAUAUACAUACAUAUACAUAUACAUACCGAGAAACUCUAGUGAGAGAAAAUGCUCCAAAAGAUGCUAGUGAUUUUUAGAGAGAGAAAACGAAAAAGGAAAAAGAAAAAAUACAAAAAAGUUUCCAUGAAACCAAAGAACCUCCAGAACUCUAACCCUAAGACCCCCUUCUCUAAUUGUUUUUCUCCUAAAUCUUCCCUUCUUAAGUCUAUUUCAAUUCAAGUUCAUCCAAAGACCUUAGAUUUUACUACAGGUUUUGGGAAUUGUUCACCUCAAAUUCAUCAGCCAUUCUCCAAACAGCCUCCAAAAAGAAUUAUCUCUACCGCACCCACCGCCUUCAUCCACCUCUACCGCCCUCCCGAAUCAAUUCACGAUGCCUUCGAUUUGCGAGAUCCGCCGAACUCCGAUCUGCUGGUUCCCACCCUCGCGCGCCGCUGCACUCGCAACCGUCUCUAUGACUUUUACCAGAUAAGUUUCCUACUUUUACUUCUUCGUUCGAUUGGGUACUGUUCUAUAUUGCUCUUAUUCUUCAUUGGUAGAUCCAAUUUUUCAUCACUUCUCUUGUUUCAUCUCGUUGUCUUGGAUAUCCUGAAUAUCACCUUUGCCCCUUCUUGUUUUGUUGAAUCAAACUCACAUCUUACCUCCAAUCGAGAGCCUGACUUGGUUCAUAUUCACUAUCCCGAUGCCGCUGACGGAUGCUCCUGCCUCCCUCUCUCUGACUCUCGCCGGAAAAAUGAAAUACGCUAUUGGUUACUCUUCUUUGCAUUUAUUUAUCUACUUUGGACCCUAAGUUCUCUAGUUGAUGUCUACUCUAAAUCAUUACCAAGAUCAACGACGCACAAAUCACUACUAGAUCUAAAUUAUAUAUGUUAUGUUUCUUUCACUUUGGUUCUCAACUGAUUAUGCUAUUUGUUGGCUGCCUGUUGUUGUGAUUUUUAUGCUUUUGUCGCUGAGUUAUUUAUACACCAUGGGUAUGUAUCAAUUAACAUGGAUUGUUGCUUUUUUAAAUGGUAGAAUUCUUCCUACUCCUAUUAUGCACCCUACAUGGAUCUUCUACUUCUUUAAAAAGAUGUUGGUAAAUCCAAUCAGUUGCAUAUUUUGUUUCAGAGAACUAUAGUUAAUUGGCUUUACCAUCUCCUUCUCCUUGAGAUUAAUUAUUGCUUACAUCCAACUUUUUGUUGGAUUGCUUUCCCUCUUAUCUGCUUAAUCCAGGUUAGUUUCCUAGGCAUUGUGCUCAUGCUGGUGAUGUGUUUAUGGUGCAAUGUAGCUACCCAUCCUUACAUUGUUAUCUCAUUUUCCCAUUAUCUAUUAUGUGCUAAGAUUUUCAAGCUGUUUUUGUGGUGGUUUGACAUUCUUAUGUUGUUACUUUAUAUUGACUCCUUGGAUUUUAGAGAUCAUCGUGGGGUUCUAUGGAAUUCUUGGAGCACAGUGAACAUUAAUGUCAACAAUUAUACACCAUGCUCUAAUAAUAUUUUCUCUGAUAUAAUAGAGAUCGGGUUUUUGAAACUCAAUGGAUCCGAGUGCCUCGCCACUCGCUAUGGCGCAGUGUUGUAAUUUCACCUCCUCACAGAUUGUUCGACUUUUACAGGAAAAACAUAUCUCCUCGAAUCCAUUUACUCAAAGUCGGCACAGUUUGUAGCCUUUUAGAUUCUGGGUUUAUUCAUCAUCUAGACCAUUGUGUUUUCGAUAAAAGUAAACUCUCACCUGCCUCCAUAAGGUUGUUUCUUCAACUCCUUCUCUCUAAACUGGAUUGGGCUUUUACAACCCAUUAGACUCGAGUGCUCUAUAACUCGCUAUUGAACCUCUAUGUAUUACGUUAUGCUCGGCUUAUUGUAUUUAUAUUGCUAUAUGAGUCAUUACUCUCUAA